rnacentral:rRNA from 1 species
GAUGAACGCUGGCGGCGUGCUUAACACAUGCAAGUCGAACGAAGAUGCCGGAGUGCUUGCACUUUGGCAGACUGAGUGGCGGACGGGUGAGUAACGCGUGAGGAACCUGCCUCAAAGAGGGGGACAACAGUUGGAAACGACUGCUAAUACCGCAUAAGCCCACGGCUCGGCAUCGAGCAGAGGGAAAAGGAGCGAUCCGCUUUGAGAUGGCCUCGCGUCCGAUUAGCUAGUUGGUGAGGUAACGGCCCACCAAGGCGACGAUCGGUAGCCGGACUGAGAGGUUGAACGGCCACAUUGGGACUGAGACACGGCCCAGACUCCUACGGGAGGCAGCAGUGGGGAAUAUUGCACAAUGGGGGAAACCCUGAUGCAGCGACGCCGCGUGGAGGAAGAAGGUCUUCGGAUUGUAAACUCCUGUUGUUGAGGAAGAUAAUGACGGUACUCAACAAGGAAGUGACGGCUAACUACGUG